rnacentral:sRNA from 1 species
UGAACGAUAGUAGUAUUAGGAUGGGUGACCUCCCAGGAAGUCUUUGUGUUGUAUCCCUUUUUUUUUGGUUAAGAUUAUAUGAUUCUAUUACUUGUAGA